CAUAUGGCCUAUCGUGGGACUUCACCUUGUGAUCAUCCAAUGAAGAAACCUUGGAAAAGGAAAUGAGAAGGACAACAUUGUUCUAUCAGCCAAUCUGUUCACCUUACAAUUGAUGUUAAGCAGAAUCUGAUAUGCAAAGAGGAAGCUCAGCAUCUUGUACUGCAUCCAGGAAGUCAAGGACCCCAAACGGAGGGACCGGCUGAAGCCAU
rnacentral:lncRNA from 1 species